GAGCUUACCAGCCAGCUAGCGAGCGACGGGCGCGCGCGGCCCCUGCGCACUCGGCCGCCGCCUGCGCGCGUUGCGGCCGCAGCUGCACCUUUGCCUCCGUGGUUCCGCAGCCCAGCCCCGGGAGGACGCGCUGCCCUGCGUCGUCCGCACUUGCGCCCUUUCCCACCGCAACAGGUCAGGGGAGGGCGGAGGUGACGAGGGCGCCCGACCCGGGACUAGAGGACGGAAGGGUCUGGAAGAUGAACAGACUAGCCACUUUGCAUUGACUGGAAACAAUGGCAUUUACGGAAAGAGUCAACAGCAGUGGCAACAGACAGCAAAAGGUGAUGAGCUGUCUAGUCGAAUACAGAACAUGUUGGGAAACUACGAAGAAGUGAAGGAGUUCCUUAGUACUAAGUCUCACACUCAUCGCUUGGAUGCUCCUGAAAAUAGGUUGGGAAAGCCAAAAUAUCCUUUAAUUCCUGACAAAGGGAGCAGCAUUCCAUCCAGCUCCUUCCACACUAGUGUCCACCACCAGUCCAUUCACACUCCUGCGUCUGGACCACUUUCUGUUGGCAACAUUAGCCACAAUCCAAAGAUGGCGCAGCCAAGAACUGAACCAAUGCCAAGUCUCCAUGCCAAAAGCUGUGGCCCACCGGACAGCCAGCACCUGACCCAGGAUCGCCUUGGUCAGGAGGGGUUCGGCUCUAGUCAUCACAAGAAAGGUGACCGAAGAGCUGACGGAGACCACUGUGCUUCGGUGACAGACUCGGCUCCAGAGAGGGAGCCUUCUCCCUUAAUCUCCUCUUUGCCUUCCCCAGUUCCCCCUUUGUCACCUAUACAUUCCAACCAGCAAACUCUUCCCCGGACGCAAGGAAGCAGCAAGGUUCAUGGCAGCAACAAUAACAGUAAAGGCUGUUGCCCAGCCAAAUCUCCCAAGGACCUAGCAGUGAAAGUCCAUGAUAAAGAGACCCCUCAAGACAGUUUGGUGGCCCCUGCCCAGCCGCCUUCUCAGACAUUUCCACCUCCCUCCCUCCCCUCAAAAAGUGUUGCAAUGCAGCAGAAGCCCACGGCUUAUGUCCGGCCCAUGGAUGGUCAAGAUCAGGCCCCUAGUGAAUCCCCUGAACUGAAACCACUGCCGGAGGACUAUCGACAGCAGACCUUUGAAAAAACAGACUUGAAAGUGCCUGCCAAAGCCAAGCUCACCAAACUGAAGAUGCCUUCUCAGUCAGUUGAGGUGUGUGGAAUUUCUUAUCUUGGGCAAUUCCAAUUCGAAGACGGAUUUGAGAUGAAAAUGUCUGGAGGAUGUGGGGCAAGGUGGGGACGUUAGUCCGUGGCUUUUGGCUAGGGGGAAUUCUUUUUGGCUUUAGGAUCUUGUUAAUAACCCGUGAAAAACUCAGAUCUGAGAUGGACGACUGAUUAUAGAUAUUGAAAUGCAGUUUGCAGAAAGGUUUAGAGAACCUUUUUAUUGAGCCAAAAUUUAUAUACAGUAAAACAUAGAGAUCAUAAGAGUACAGUUUGUGUUUCAAAAAAUAGAUACACCUGUAGGAUCCAAAACCCAAUCGAGAGAGAAGAUUUCGGUUACCAGAAAGUUUCAGGAAGGUUUUCAGGUGUUUUAUUUAUUGUUUUGGGAGACACUGGGGUAACAAUGUGAACACGAAAAAAAUUUUUUUGAUUAAUACCUCCUCAG
rnacentral:sRNA from 1 species